rnacentral:rRNA from 1 species
GAUGAACGCUGGCGGCGUGCCUAAUACAUGCAAGUCGAGCGAACAGACGAGGAGCUUGCUCCUCUGACGUUAGCGGCGGACGGGUGAGUAACACGUGGAUAACCUACCUAUAAGACUGGGAUAACUUCGGGAAACCGGAGCUAAUACCGGAUAAUAUAUUGAACCGCAUGGUUCAAUAGUGAAAGACGGUUUUGCUGUCACUUAUAGAUGGAUCCGCGCCGCAUUAGCUAGUUGGUAAGGUAACGGCUUACCAAGGCAACGAUGCGUAGCCGACCUGAGAGAGUGAUCGGCCACACGGGAACUGAGACACGGUCCAGACUCCUGCGGGAGGCAGCAGUAGGGAAUCUUCCGCAAUGGGCGAAAGCUUGACGGAGCAACGCCGCGUGAGUGAUGAAGGUCUUCGGAUCGUAAAACUCUGUUAUUAGGGAAGAACAAAUGUGUAAGUAACUAUGCACGUCUUGACGGUACCUAAUCAGAAAGCCACGGCUAACUACGUG